rnacentral:tmRNA from 1 species
GGGGCUGCAAUGGUUUCGACUGUGCGGGGAAGGGGAGGCAUAAGCAUACCGAGGCUCCCGUCCUCGUUAAAAAGGGAAAAUUAAAUUUAAAUGCUGACAAUCAAAAAUUAGCAUUCGCCGCUUAAUUACAAGCGACUGUCCGACUCGCUUUGCCCGCGAGAGCGACGUUCGGGCAUGAUUUUUCGCGGGGUACCACCUUGCGGGAUCGAAAACACCCGCAAUGCGGAUCCUUUGUUUUCAGCGCCGCGUGCAAUCCGCGCCUUGCCGGAGUACGUCGGAAGAGGAUACAGUCAAGGCUAAGUAUGUAGAAGGCUUUUCGGUCCCCUCGCAACACGAGAGUUCGAUUCUCUCCAGCUCCACCA